rnacentral:rRNA from 1 species
GACAGAGGGUGCAAACGUUGUUCGGAAUUACUGGGCGUAAAGCGUGUGUAGGCUGUGCGACAAGUCGGCUGUGAAAGCCCGGGGCUCAACCCCGGAAGUGCACUCGAUACUGUCGGACUUGAGUCUCGGAGAGGUUGGUGGAAUUCUCGGUGUAGAGGUGAAAUUCGUAGAUAUCGAGAGGAACACCGGUGGCGAAGGCGGCCAACUGGACGAAGACUGACGCUGAGACACGAAAGCGUGGGGAGCAAACAGG